rnacentral:rRNA from 1 species
GACGCUGGCGGCGGGCCUAACACAUGCAAGUCGAACGCACUCGACCUUCGGGUCACAUGAGUGAGUGGCGAACGGGUGAGUAACACGUGAGGAACCUGCCCCGAAGACUGGAAUAACCCGAGGAAACUCGGGCUAAUACCGGAUAUCCCCACCAGGUCGCAUGGCCAGGUGAGGAAAUGCUCCGGCGCUUCGGGAGGGUCUCGCGGCCUAUCAGCUAGUUGGUGAGGUAACGGCUCACCAAGGCAUCGACGGGUAGCUGGUCUGAGAGGACGAUCAGCCACACUGGGACUGAGACACGGCCCAGACUCCUACGGGAGGCAGCAGUGGGGAAUCUUGCGCAAUGGGCGAAAGCCUGACGCAGCCACGCCGCGUGAGGGAUGAAGGCUUUCGGGUUGUAAACCUCUUUCAGCAGGGACGAAAAUGACGGUACCUGCAGAAGAAGCCCCGGCCAACUACGUGCCAGCAGCCGCGGUAACACGUAGGGGGCGAGCGUUGUCCGGAUUUAUUGGGCGUAAAGAGCUCGUAGGCGGUUCAGUAAGUCGGGUGUGAAAACUUGAGGCUCAACCUCAAGAGGCCACUCGAUACUGCUGUGACUUGAGUCCGGUAGAGGAGUGUGGAAUUCCUGGUGUAGCGGUGAAAUGCGCAGAUAUCAGGAGGAACACCGACAGCGAAGGCAGCACUCUGGGCCGGUACUGACGCUGAGGAGCGAAAGCGUGGGGAGCGAACAGGAUUAGAUACCCUGGUAGUCCACGCCGUAAACGUUGGGCACUAGGUGUGGGAUCUAACUAACAGAUUCCGUGCCGUAGCUAACGCAUUAAGUGCCCCGCCUGGGGAGUA